rnacentral:rRNA from 1 species
GCAGUCGACGCUUCUUUCCUCCCGAGUGCUUGCACUCAAUUGGAAAGAGGAGUGGCGGACGGGUGAGUAACACGUGGGUAACCUACCCAUCAGAGGGGGAUAACACUUGGAAACAGGUGCUAAUACCGCAUAACAGUUUAUGCCGCAUGGCAUAAGAGUGAAAGGCGCUUUCGGGUGUCGCUGAUGGAUGGACCCGCGGUGCAUUAGCUAGUUGGUGAGGUAACGGCUCACCAAGGCCACGAUGCAUAGCCGACCUGAGAGGGUGAUCGGCCACACUGGGACUGAGACACGGCCCAGACUCCUACGGGAGGCAGCAGUAGGGAAUCUUCGGCAAUGGACGAAAGUCUGACCGAGCAACGCCGCGUGAGUGAAGAAGGUUUUCGGAUCGUAAAACUCUGUUGUUAGAGAAGAACAAGGACGUUAGUAACUGAACGUCCCCUGACGGUAUCUAACCAGAAAGCCACGGCUAACUACGUGCCAGCAGCGGCGG